GAUGAACGCUGGCGGCGUGCCUAACACAUGCCAGUCGAGCGGCAGCGACGGGUGCUUGCUCCCUGUCGGCGAGCUGCGGACGGCUGAGUAACGCGUGGGAACGUGCCCCAAAGUGAGGAAUAACUGCCCGAACUGGUAGCUAAUACCGCAUGUUAUCUUCGGCUCACAGGCUUUAUCCGCUGUGGGCGCGGCCCGCGUCGGUGUAGGUAGUUGGUGAGGUAAUGGUUCACCAAGCCGACGAUCCCCAGCUGGUCUGAGAGGAUGACCAGCCAGACUGGAAGUAAGACAAGGUCCAGAAUCAAACGAGAGGCAGAAGUGAGGAAUCUUCCACAAUGGGAGAAAGGGUGAGGGAGCAACGUGGCGUGCAGGACGAAGGGCUUCGGGUUGGAAACUGCUAUUAUAAGUGAGGAAUAUGACGGUAACUUAUGAAUAAGGAUCGGCUAACUACGUG
rnacentral:rRNA from 1 species